UACGGAUGAAGCCAGUGUUACUCAUCUUUAAUGGGCGUAAAGUGCGCGUAGGUUGUUAAAUAAAUGUUUUACUAAAUUUUGAGCUAAAGGCUUUUUUUGUUUAAUUGUUUUGUUUUAAUUUGAGUUUUUUAGGAGGUAAACGGUAUGGUCAGAGGAGGGUUAACAUUUUAUGAUACUGAUUAGACCACCAGCGGCGAAAG
rnacentral:rRNA from 1 species